GUGGCUGUAGCUCAGUUGGUUAGAGCGUCGGUUUGUGGUACCGGAUGUCGGGGGUUCAAAUCCCCUCAGCCACCCCA
rnacentral:tRNA from 1 species